rnacentral:rRNA from 1 species
GACGAACGCUGGCGGCGUGCUUAACACAUGCAAGUCGAACGCUGAAGCUCAGCUUGCUGGGUGGAUGAGUGGCGAACGGGUGAGUAACACGUGAGUAACCUGCCCUCUUCUUUGGGAUAACGCCCGGAAACGGGUGCUAAUACUGGAUAUUCACUGAUUCUCGCAUGGGGUUGGGGGAAAGGGUUUUUUUGGUGGGGGGUGGGCUCGCGGCCUAUCAACUUGUUGGUGGGGUGAUGGGCUACCAAGGCUUUGACGGGUAGCCGGCCUGAGAGGGUGACCGGUCACAUUGGGACUGAGAUACGGCCCAGACUCCUACGGGAGGCAGCAGUGGGGAAUAUUGCACAAUGGGCGAAAGCCUGAUGCAGCGACGCCGCGUGAGGGAUGGAGGCCUUCGGGUUGUAAACCUCUUUCGCUCAUGGUCAAGCCGCAGCUUUGGGUUGUGGUGAGGGUAGUGGGUAAAGAAGCGCCGGCUAACUACGUG